rnacentral:rRNA from 1 species
UGAAAUCAAGUGUGACGACCCCCUGAAU